rnacentral:piRNA from 1 species
UGAUGGAGCAUUGUUAGCAGGCCAC